CAGUGGGUACGGGCAGACUAGAGUGCGGUAGGGGAGAUUGGAAUUCCUGGUGUAGCGGUGGAAUGCGCAGAUAUCAGGAGGAACACCGAUGGCGAAGGCAGAUCUCUGGGCCGAACUGACGCUGAGGAGCGAAAGGGUGGGGAGCAAACAGGCUUAGAUACCCUGGUAGUCCACCCCGUAAACGUUGGGAACUAGUUGUGGGGCCGUGACGCAGCUAACGCAUUAAGUUCCCCGCCUGGGGAGUACGGCCGCAAGGCUAAAACUCAAAGGAAUUGACGGGGACCCGCACAAGCGGCGGAGCAUGCGGAUUAAUUCGAUGCAACGCGAAGAACCUUACCAAGGCUUGACAUACAGGUGGUGCAUGGUUGUCGUCAGCUCGUGUCGUGAGAUGUUGGGUUAAGUCCCGCAACGAGCGCAACCCUCGUUCUAUGUUGCAACUCAUGGGAUACUGCCGGGGUCAACUCGGAGGAAGGUGGGGAUGACGUCAAAUCAUCAUGCCCUUAUGUCUUGGGCUUCACGCAUGCUACAAUGGCCGGUACAAAGGGCUGCAAUACCGUAAGGUGGAGCGAAUCCCAAAAAGCCGGUCCCAGUUCGGAUUGAGGUCUGCAACUCGACCUCAUGAAGUCGGAGUCGCUAGUAAUCGCAGAUCAGCACGCUGCGGUGAAUACGUUCCCGGGUCUUGCACACACCGCCCGUC
rnacentral:rRNA from 1 species